CACGCCGUAAACACUGGAUACUAGCUGUUGGAGGUAUCGACCCCUUCAGUAGCGAAGCUAACGCGUUAAGUAUCCCGCCUGUGGAGUACGGUCGCAAGACUAAAACAUAAAGGAAUUGACGGGGACCCGCACAAGCGGUGGAGCGUGUUCUUUAAUUCGAUGAUAAACGAUAAACCUUACCAGGGUUUGACAUCCUUAGAAUUUCUGUGAAAGCAGAAAGUGCUUUAUUGAGCUAAGAGACAGGUGA
rnacentral:rRNA from 1 species